UUUCCGGAAGAAACCCCCCCCUCGUGAGGGGGACUUGACGUACCGUAAGAAUAAGGAUCGGCUAACUCCGUUCCAGCAGCCGCGGUAAUACGGAGGAUCAAGCGUUAUCCGGAAUCAUUGGGUUAAAGGGUCCGUAGGCGCCCUUAUAAGUCAGUGGUGAAAUCUCCUAGCUCAACUAGGAAACUGCCAUUGAUACUGUAGGGCUUGAAUUAUUGUGAAGUAACUAGAAUAUGUAGUGUAGCGGUGAAAUGCUUAGAUAUUACAUGGAAUACCAAUUGCGAAGGCAGGUUACUAACAAUAUAUUGACGCUGAUGGACGAAAGCGUGGGUAGCGAACAGGAUUAGAUACCCUGGUAGUCCACGCCGUAAACGAUGGAUACUAGCUGUUGGGGGCAACUUCAGUGGCUAAGCGAAAGUGAUAAGUAUCCCACCUGGGGAGUACGAACGCAAGUUUGAAACUCAAAGGAAUUGACGGGGGCCCGCACAAGCGGUGGAGCAUGUGGUUUAAUUCGAUGAUACGCGAGGAACCUUACCAAGGCUUAAAUGUAGAUUGACAGGACAGGAAACUGUUUUUUCUUCGGACAAUUUACAAGGUGCUGCAUGGUUGUCGUCAGCUCGUGCCGUGAGGUGUCAGGUUAAGUCCUAUAACGAGCGCAACCCCUGUUGUUAGUUGCCAGCGAGUCAUGUCGGGAACUCUAACGAGACUGCCAGUGCAAACUGUGAGGAAGGUGGGGAUGACGUCAAGUAAUCG
rnacentral:rRNA from 1 species